AUUUUUCUUAGAGCAUUUUUCUUAGAGUAGUUGGUUCUUUGGAAUGGUCACAUACUUGUUAAUCACUAACAUGCUCCUUGCUUUUUUUUCUUUUCUUUUUUUUUUUUUUUUUGUGGUUCAUGGGGAAGGUAACUAUCAAAUAAAGCUUUUUCAUUUAAAAUUCAGUAAUUUGGUCUGGCAAGAUAAUAAAUUAUCUCAGCAGGUACAACUAAAUAAAAUUGAUCAAGACUUGUGCGACAGGGUGUUGGGUGGCUGAUGAGGUGGCACAGCGGGGAAGGGACUUGCUGUUAGACCUGAGCUUCAUUCCCAGGAUGCACAUGAUAGAAAGAGAGAGUGGAUGCCUCCAAAUUAUCCUCUGCACAUAUCCAUGUGCACCGUAUAGCAUUUAUGCCCUCGAACACACAUAGGUGUACGUACAUGCACACGUGCUGAAUAAAUAAAAUGCAAUUAAAAUUUAAUGUUAGGAAAUUCAAGACAAUGGAUAGACAAGUAGGUAGAUCAGGAGAUGAUGCACAUAGUAGGGGUCAGUCCAAGCUGCCUUGGGAGCAAUCUUGAAUUUCAUAUGGAGCUCUAAAGGACCUGAAAUAACCACAUGAUUGUAGAAAGUAAAAAUACAGUCUUGGAGGACUCUCAUCUCCUGGUUUCAAAACUUGUGAUUUGCAUUUGCAUGUGUAUCAAUGGAAAGGAAUUGAGAGGCCAGGAGUAGUGUGCCCGCCCAACACACAAGCACAAACACAGCAUACAUGCACACACAUGACGCAAACACACGCACUGCUCACUCUCCCUCCCCAGUAAAGCUGCCAUAGCAAUUCAAAUGGGACCUCUUUUCAGCAAUUGGUGCCCACAGUACAACUGUGUGUCCACACACAGACGCUGAGUUUGGACCCACGGUUCACGGGUAGAGUUCGUAGAAAAGCAGGCAACAGCGCUCAUAACUAACCAUGGAUGAAGUCAUUUCUUAGGCUUGAUAUCAAAAGUACAAGCAGAACAACAAAUAUAUAUUGGAUCUCAUACAAAUGCCAGGGCCUGGUAGUGGCACAUAUGAGCCCAGCAUUUAGGACUCAAGUGUGUGUAUGAGGGGAAGGGGUGCAACGGAUGGUGGUUACUAUAAGUUCUGGGACAGCCAGGAAUUUAGAAACUUUUUUUAAAAUUCUCUUUAUGGGGUUGGAGAGAUGGUUGAGUGGUUAAGACCUCUGCUCUUCCAGAGGUCCCGAGUUCAAUCCCCUCCAACCACAUGGUAGCUUACAACCAUCUGUAAUGGGAUCUGAUGUCCUCUUGUGUGUCUGAAAAUUACAGUGUAUUCAUACAUAAAGUAAAUCAUAAAAAUAAAAAAUUCUCUUUAUGCCUCAAAGAAUGCCAUCAUGUAACACAUGCCCCUGGGUUCAAUCCUCAGGACUUGGGGGUGGAGUGGGGGGUGGGAGAGGGUAGAGAGCCAUCAAGGGGAUAUGGAUGGAGAUAGAGAUAUAUAUGC
rnacentral:lncRNA from 1 species